rnacentral:rRNA from 1 species
UACGAAGGGGGCUAGCGUUGCUCGGAAUCACUGGGCGUAAAGCGCACGUAGGCGGAUUGCUAAGUCAGGGGUGAAAUCCUGGAGCUCAACUCCAGAACUGCCUUUGAUACUGGCGAUCUUGAGUCCGGGAGAGGUGAGUGGAACUGCGAGUGUAGAGGUGAAAUUCGUAGAUAUUCGCAAGAACACCAGUGGCGAAGGCGGCUCACUGGCCCAUAACUGACGCUGAGGCACGAAAGCGUGGGGGAGCAAACAGG